UUUAUGUAACUGUUAGGGGCACUUAGAAUUUCGUCUGUUUCAGGCAACGCUGGCACAUGGACGUGCCAGCGAGGUGCAUAUGAGCACGGAUGCGAAUUUGCACCGGUUGCCGGAUAUUGUGAUAUUUUAUCCGAAAUUCUUAGUGCCCCUUGCAGGUAUCAUAC
rfam:Roseburia sp. CAG:45 genomic scaffold, scf34